rnacentral:rRNA from 1 species
UUCCCUGAAAAUUCCGGUGGUACAGGAUGGGCCCGCGUCUGAUUAGCCAGUUGGCAGGGUAACGGCCUACCAAAGCGACGAUCAGUAGCCGGCCUGAGAGGGCGGACGGCCACACUGGGACUGAGACACGGCCCAGACUCCUACGGGAGGCAGCAGUGGGGGAUAUUGCACAAUGGGGGGAACCCUGAUGCAGCGACGCCGCGUGGGUGAAGAAGCGCCUCGGCGCGUAAAGCCCUGUCAGCAGGGAAGAAAAUGACGGUACAUGAAGAAGAAGCCCCGGCUAACUACGUGCCAGCAGCCGCGGUAAUACGUAGGGGGCAAGCGUUAUCCGGAUUUACUGGGUGUAAAGGGGGCGCAGACGGCGAUGCAAGCCAGGAGUGAAAGCCCGGGGCCCAACCCCGGGACUGCUCUUGGAACUGCGUGGCUGGAGUGCAGGAGGGGCAGGCGGAAUUCCUGGUGUAGCGGUGAAAUGCGUAGAUAUCAGGAGGAACACCGGUGGCGAAGGCGGCCUGCUGGACUGCAACUGACGUUGAGGCCCGAAAGCGUGGGGAG